rnacentral:lncRNA from 1 species
UAAGAUGUCGGUAAUUAGAAGAAAACCCUAAUUACUGUUGUUUGUCGAUAAUUAGGACAAACCCUAAUUAUUACAACCCUAAUCGGUUGAAGUUAGAGAUCGUAAUGACUGUGUUAGAACAUACACAGAUAAUUAGAGAACCCUAAUGGUCAAUUAGAAACCCUAAUUGAUGGCGUUAAGAAACCCUAAUUAUAGAACCCUAAUUUUUUCUAUAGAAAACCCUAAUUUAAAUUACCGGGUUUAAUUACGAUGUUAUUGUAUAAAUGUUUUAAUUUACCAAAGGAUAGAAAUUAAUUGGUAAAUGGUAAGAAUUAUAAUCUAAUGGUUAAAUAUUACAUUUAAUUGCUAUGUACAAAAAUGCCCAUGAAAUUAUAUGCGAAAUUACCAAAUUACCCUUUUUGGUUUAUUAGUGUAUUAUUAGUUACAUUGUUGAUGGAAUCUUGCCAAAAAUCAUGGCCAACAUCCCUACCCUACCAAUUGAGCAUCCGAGACUCAAUUAUGC